GAUGAACGCUAGCGGCAGGCUUAAUACAUGCAAGUCGAGGGGUCAGCAAUGACACCGGCGGACGGGUGCGUAACGCGUAUGCAACCUACCUACAUCAGGGGGAUAGCCCUAGGAAACUGGGAUUAACACCGCAUAAUAUUAUUAAUGGCAUCAUUGAUAAUUGAAAUAUUUAUAGGAAGUAGAUGGGCAUGCGUAAGAUUAGCUAGUUGGUAAGGUAACGGCUUACCAAGGCUACGAUCUUUAGGGGCUCUGAGAGGAGUAUCCCCCACACUGGCACUGAGAUACGGGCCAGACUCCUACGGGAGGCAGCAGUAGGGAAUAUUGGGCAAUGGAGGCAACUCUGACCCAGCCAUGCCGCGUGCAGGAAGACGGCCCUCUGGGUUGUAAACUGCUUUUGAAUGGGAAGAAUGUGUGGCUUGCGAGCUAUAAUGACGGUACCAUUAGAAUAAGCCACGGCUAACUACGUGCCAGCAGCCGACGGUAAAACGU
rnacentral:rRNA from 1 species